UGCCUGGCUCCCUGAAUGCCAUCCGAGAGAAGCAAUGCCAUCGUGUCCAUGGCGUGCCUCCCGGUUGGCGUUGAGGGAGUCAUGCAGGUUGCUUGCAUUGCCUCAGCAGC
rnacentral:pre_miRNA from 1 species